CCAAGGAAGUGGAAGAAAGAGAAUGUCUAAGAGCAGUGGGAAUGAGAACAUGAAGGAAAGCAUGAACUAUGUUUUUUUUCUGAAUGUUUUCCUGUUGCCUCUCAUUCCUACGGUUCUUAGGUGCUCCUUCCUCUUCCUUUGGCCU
rnacentral:pre_miRNA from 2 species